GUGCUCGCUUCGGCAGCACAUAUACUAAAAUUGGAACGAUACAGAGAUUAGCAUGGCCCCUGCACAAGGAUGACAUGCAAAUUCGUGAAGCAUUCCAUAUUUUU
rnacentral:snRNA from 1 species